GGUUAAGCGACUAAGCGUACACGGUGGAUGCCCUGGCAGUCAGAGGCGAUGAAGGACGUGCUAAUCUGCGAUAAGCGUCGGUAAGGUGAUAUGAACCGUUAUAACCGGCGAUUUCCGAAUGGGGAAACCCAGUGUGUUUCGACACACUAUCAUUAACUGAAUCCAUAGGUUAAUGAGGCGAACCGGGGGAACUGAAACAUCUAAGUACCCCGAGGAAAAGAAAUCAACCGAGAUUCCCCCAGUAGCGGCGAGCGAACGGGGAGGAGCCCAGAGCCUGAAUCAGUGUGUGUGUUAGUGGAAGCGUCUGGAAAGGCGCGCGAUACAGGGUGACAGCCCCGUACACAAAAAUGCACAUGCUGUGAGCUCGAUGAGUAGGGCGGGACACGUGGUAUCCUGUCUGAAUAUGGGGGGACCAUCCUCCAAGGCUAAAUACUCCUGACUGACCGAUAGUGAACCAGUACCGUGAGGGAAAGGCGAAAAGAACCCCGGCGAGGGGAGUGAAAAAGAACCUGAAACCGUGUACGUACAAGCAGUGGGAGCACAGAGCAAUCUGUGUGACUGCGUACCUUUUGUAUAAUGGGUCAGCGACUUAUAUUCUGUAGCAAGGUUAACCGAAUAGGGGAGCCGAAGGGAAACCGAGUCUUAACUGGGCGUUAAGUUGCAGGGUAUAGACCCGAAACCCGGUGAUCUAGCCAUGGGCAGGUUGAAGGUUGGGUAACACUAACUGGAGGACCGAACCGACUAAUGUUGAAAAAUUAGCGGAUGACUUGUGGCUGGGGGUGAAAGGCCAAUCAAACCGGGAGAUAGCUGGUUCUCCCCGAAAGCUAUUUAGGUAGCGCCUCGUGAAUUCAUCUCCGGGGGUAGAGCACUGUUUCGGCAAGGGGGUCAUCCCGACUUACCAACCCGAUGCAAACUGCGAAUACCGGAGAAUGUUAUCACGGGAGACACACGGCGGGUGCUAACGUCCGUCGUGAAGAGGGAAACAACCCAGACCGCCAGCUAAGGUCCCAAAGUCAUGGUUAAGUGGGAAACGAUGUGGGAAGGCCCAGACAGCCAGGAUGUUGGCUUAGAAGCAGCCAUCAUUUAAAGAAAGCGUAAUAGCUCACUGGUCGAGUCGGCCUGCGCGGAAGAUGUAACGGGGCUAAACCAUGCACCGAAGCUGCGGCAGCGACACUGUGUGUUGUUGGGUAGGGGAGCGUUCUGUAAGCCUGUGAAGGUGUGCUGUGAGGCAUGCUGGAGGUAUCAGAAGUGCGAAUGCUGACAUAAGUAACGAUAAAGCGGGUGAAAAGCCCGCUCGCCGGAAGACCAAGGGUUCCUGUCCAACGUUAAUCGGGGCAGGGUGAGUCGACCCCUAAGGCGAGGCCGAAAGGCGUAGUCGAUGGGAAACAGGUUAAUAUUCCUGUACUUGGUGUUACUGCGAAGGGGGACGGAGAAGGCUAUGUUGGCCGGGCGACGGUUGUCCCGGUUUAAGCGUGUAGGCUGGUUUUCCAGGCAAAUCCGGAAAAUCAAGGCUGAGGCGUGAUGACGAGGCACUACGGUGCUGAAGCAACAAAUGCCCUGCUUCCAGGAAAAGCCUCUAAGCAUCAGGUAACAUCAAAUCGUACCCCAAACCGACACAGGUGGUCAGGUAGAGAAUACCAAGGCGCUUGAGAGAACUCGGGUGAAGGAACUAGGCAAAAUGGUGCCGUAACUUCGGGAGAAGGCACGCUGAUAUGUAGGUGAAGUCCCUCGCGGAUGGAGCUGAAAUCAGUCGAAGAUACCAGCUGGCUGCAACUGUUUAUUAAAAACACAGCACUGUGCAAACACGAAAGUGGACGUAUACGGUGUGACGCCUGCCCGGUGCCGGAAGGUUAAUUGAUGGGGUCAGCGCAAGCGAAGCUCUUGAUCGAAGCCCCGGUAAACGGCGGCCGUAACUAUAACGGUCCUAAGGUAGCGAAAUUCCUUGUCGGGUAAGUUCCGACCUGCACGAAUGGCGUAAUGAUGGCCAGGCUGUCUCCACCCGAGACUCAGUGAAAUUGAACUCGCUGUGAAGAUGCAGUGUACCCGCGGCAAGACGGAAAGACCCCGUGAACCUUUACUAUAGCUUGACACUGAACAUUGAGCCUUGAUGUGUAGGAUAGGUGGGAGGCUUUGAAGUGUGGACGCCAGUCUGCAUGGAGCCGACCUUGAAAUACCACCCUUUAAUGUUUGAUGUUCUAACGUGGACCCGUGAUCCGGGUUGCGGACAGUGUCUGGUGGGUAGUUUGACUGGGGCGGUCUCCUCCUAAAGAGUAACGGAGGAGCACGAAGGUUGGCUAAUCCUGGUCGGACAUCAGGAGGUUAGUGCAAUGGCAUAAGCCAGCUUGACUGCGAGCGUGACGGCGCGAGCAGGUGCGAAAGCAGGUCAUAGUGAUCCGGUGGUUCUGAAUGGAAGGGCCAUCGCUCAACGGAUAAAAGGUACUCCGGGGAUAACAGGCUGAUACCGCCCAAGAGUUCAUAUCGACGGCGGUGUUUGGCACCUCGAUGUCGGCUCAUCACAUCCUGGGGCUGAAGUAGGUCCCAAGGGUAUGGCUGUUCGCCAUUUAAAGUGGUACGCGAGCUGGGUUUAGAACGUCGUGAGACAGUUCGGUCCCUAUCUGCCGUGGGCGCUGGAGAACUGAGGGGGGCUGCUCCUAGUACGAGAGGACCGGAGUGGACGCAUCACUGGUGUUCGGGUUGUCAUGCCAAUGGCACUGCCCGGUAGCUAAAUGCGGAAGAGAUAAGUGCUGAAAGCAUCUAAGCACGAAACUUGCCCCGAGAUGAGUUCUCCCUGACCCUUUAAGGGUCCUGAAGGAACGUUGAAGACGACGACGUUGAUAGGCCGGGUGUGUAAGCGCAGCGAUGCGUUGAGCUAACCGGUACUAAUGAACCGUGAGGCUUAACCUU
rnacentral:rRNA from 1 species